GAUGAACGCUGGCGGCGUGCCUAAUACAUGCAAGUCGAGCGAACAGGCGAGGAGCUUGCUCCUCUGACGUUAGCGGCGGACGGGUGAGUAACACGUGGAUAACCUACCUAUAAGACUGGGAUAACUUCGGGAAACCGGAGCUAAUACCGGAUAAUAUAUUGAACCGCAUGGUUCAAUAGUGAAAGACGGUUUUGCUGUCACUUAUAGAUGGAUCCGCGCCGCAUUAGCUAGUUGGUAAGGUAACGGCUUACCAAGGCGACGAUGCGUAGCCGACCUGAGAGGGUGGUCGGCCACACUGGAACUGAGACACGGUCCAGACUCCUACGGGAGGCAGCAGUAGGGAAUUCUCCGCAAUGGGCGAAAGCCUGACGGAGCAACGCCGCGUGAGUGAUGAAGGUCUUCCGAUCGUAAAACUCUGUUAUUAGGGAAGAACAAAUGUGUAAGUAAAUAUGCACGUCUUGACGGUAACUAAUCAGAAAGCCACGGGCAAGUACGGGC
rnacentral:rRNA from 1 species